AUUGAACGCUGGCGGCAGGCCUAACACAUGCAAGUCGAACGAGUGGCGGACGGGUGAGUAAUGUCUGGGAACCUGCCUGAUGGAGGGGGCUACCUAAUGGAAACGGUAGCUAAUACCUCAUACCGUCAGAUUUUCACAGAUAGGAUUAGCUAGUAGGUGGGGUAAUGGCUCACCUAGGCGCCGAUACCUAGGUGGUCUUAGAGGAUGAACGGCCCCACUGGAACUGAUCCACGGUCCAGACUCCUACGGGAGGCAGCAGUGGGGAAUAGUGGACAAUGGGCGCAAGCCUGAUGCAGCCAUGCCGCGUGUGGGAAGAAGGCCUUCGGGUUGUAAAGCACUUUCAGCGAGGAGGCGUUACUCACAGAAGAAGCACCGGCUAACUCCGUGCCAGCAGCCGCGGUAAUAC
rnacentral:rRNA from 1 species